GAAGUAUUCAGGCGUCCGUGUGAGUCAUAUCGAUCUUCGUGAUUGUUGAAAAGUAGUGUCCGCGGUGGUUUUUCUACCACCCCUCCCCCCUUUUAUGGAGGGAUACCGGGAUUGCGGCCUACUCCCGUUCAGGACCUCUUGCCGUAUUUUAAAAUACGGUCCUCACACGGGUCGGCUCGGAAGUCAAAAUGGCUUCCGAGUCUAAAUGCCAAGGACACCCCGUCGUCCGAUUCCGGACGAAUCCCUCGGGCCUCCGGCCCUAAUUACCCAGGAGGGCCUCUCUCGGCACGGU